GCGGGUGUAGUUUAGUGGUAGAACACCAGCCUUCCAAGUUGGCUGUGAGGGUCCGAUUCCCUCCACCCGCU
rnacentral:tRNA from 1 species